rnacentral:rRNA from 1 species
UGAGGAAUAUUGCGCAAUGGGGGCAACCCUGACGCAGCGACGCCGCGUGGGCGAUGAAGGCCUUCGGGUCGUAAAGCCCUUUUCCCACUGACGAGACAAGGACGGUAGGUGGGGAAUAAGUCUCGGCUAACUACGUG